UACAGAGGGGGCAAGCGUUGUUCGGAAUUACUGGGCGUAAAGGGCGCGUAGGCGGCCUGUUAAGUCGAACGUGAAAUCCCCGGGCUCAACCCGGGAACUGCGUCCGAUACUGGCAGGCUUGAAUUCGGGAGAGGGAUGCGGAAUUCCAGGUGUAGCGGUGAAAUGCGUAGAUAUCUGGAGGAACACCGGUGGCGAAGGCGACAUCCUGGACCGGUAUUGACGCUGAGGCGCGAAAGCCAGGGGAGCAAACGGG
rnacentral:rRNA from 1 species